AUUCCUGAUGUUUAGUCGGAGUCUCCUUUCUUGGAACUUGAAUUCAUUGGGUCAAGUCCUACAUUCCAGAGAAGGAGAAAACAAACUUGCUCCAUUCUCCAUGUUCCGGCCUUUUAGAUAUUUGAAGAUGGCUAUCAUAUUUCCUCUCAGCCUCCUCUUUGCCAAGCUAAAUAUACCCAGUUCUCUCAACC